GUUAGUAUGGCAGGCUGGAAACUGGGUUUGCGAUGUUGACACUGGACUGGUGAUCUCGGGAGGUUAGCUACUUAAAAAGUAGAUCUUGGGUCAAAACAGGUUGGGCGCCCCUGCUCUAAACCGAACAUUCAUCCUCCUAGAACGACGGACACAACUGGCGCAGCUAACACUUAAAUCAGAGGAGCGUAGCCCCACUGUGUGUUUGACUGAAACAACGGGCAACAUUGCAGAGUCCUCAAUUACCCGCGAUAAAAAGGCCAUCUAUGAGGACCUCAGCAAAAGGUACACGUCUAGGUCACGUCACGACCUAGAGAGAAGAACACUUGGUUCAGCUUCUGCUCUGGACCCGAGAUUUAAGGGACUGCCUUUCCUUUCUGAAGAGGAUAUAGUGGAAAUGUUUGGAAGAGUUGUUGCUGAAGCUGCAUCACUAAAGGAGAAUACACACUCUGAAGCGGCACAAUCAAAAAAUGAUGCAACGUCAGAAAAGGCCUGAUGUGAACCUGUGAAAAAAACACUAUGCAAAGUCACCAACUCAAGAGUCAUUGGAUACAUUGAAGAGGACGGUUAAAUAGAAAGGUUGACAAAUGAAUAUAAUACAACUUGUCACAGUUUCAACAUAACCAUAUUGAAGUAACUACUUGUUUAAGAUAUAAGAUAAAUGUGUUUUUCAUAUGAAUUUCUUUUUCUUGUCAAGUACGACUGAUUGUUCCGUUAGGGGAGGGUAGUGGCCAUUAUUGUUAAGCGAGCCUGACAUAAAUAAACGAGGAGUUGUUGACUCUAAAGGCUUUUACAGAUGUAUGGUAUCUGCCAAUAUGAAUAACUGAAUUGAUUAUGUAAUUGUCAUUGUAACCAUUAUGAUGUCAAUUAGAAUAAACAAAGUUAACAUAUACAUUAUUAUCGUUAGACUU
ensembl:lncRNA